GUGCCAGCAGCCGCGGUAAUACGUAGGUCCCGAGCGUUGUCCGGAUUUAUUGGGCGUAAAGGGCUCGUAGGUGGUUGAUCGCGUCGGAAGUGUAAUCUUGGGGCUUAACCCUGAGCGUGCUUUCGAUACGGGUUGACUUGAGGAAGGUAGGGGAGAAUGGAAUUCCUGGUGGAGCGGUGGAAUGCGCAGAUAUCAGGAGGAACACCAGUGGCG
rnacentral:rRNA from 1 species